rfam:Pan troglodytes isolate Yerkes chimp pedigree #C0471 (Clint) chromosome 12, whole genome shotgun sequence.
AUGGGGUUUCACCAUGUUGCCCAGGAGUUUGAGACCAGCCUGGGCAACAUGGUGAAAUCCCGU